AUAGGCACCGUUGCAGUCCUAUAAUAUAGUGAGCUCGAUUCGAUUACUUUUAUUUCGUCUGUGGCCCGUCUGUCUCGCGAUCCAUUCUGCUCGCCAAAAGAUCGAGGCCUCCGAGACUCUUGACCGCACGGGUGCAACGGUCCGGACCAUUCGUGCAAACACUCACUUUGCCGCCGCUAUAUUUUCCUCGACGUUCUAUUUAUUUACCCGUCACAAACACUGCUGCACCGCGAGUAUUUCAGAAAAAAUA